rnacentral:rRNA from 1 species
CCUACGGGUGGCAGCAGUGGGGAAUAUUGGACAAUGGGGGCAACCCUGAUCCAGCCAUGCCGCGUGUGUGAAGAAGGCCCUCGGGUUGUAAAGCACUUUCCGUGAGGAAGAACGCCUGGUGGUUAAUACCCAUCAGGAAAGACAUCACUCACAGAAGAAGCACCGGCUAACUCCGUGCCAGCAGCCGCGGUAAUACGGAGGGUGCGAGCGUUAAUCGGAAUUACUGGGCGUAAAGCGCGCGUAGGUGGCUUGAUAAGCCGGUUGUGAAAGCCCCGGGCUCAACCUGGGAACGGCAUCCGGAACUGUCAAGCUAGAGUGCAGGAGAGGAAGGUAGAAUUCCCGGUGUAGCGGUGAAAUGCGUAGAGAUCGGGAGGAAUACCAGUGGCGAAGGCGGCCUUCUGGACUGACACUGACACUGAGGUGCGAAAGCGUGGGUAGCAAACAGGAUUAGAUACCCCAGUAGUC